UACGAAGGGGGCGAGCGUUGUUCGGAAUCACUGGGCGUAAGGCGCACGUAGGCGGCGCGUUAAGUCAGGGGUGAAAUCCUGGAGCUCAACUCCAGAACUGCCUUUGAUACUGGCGUGCUCGAGUGUGGGAGAGGUUGGUGGAACUCCGAGUGUAGAGGUGAAAUUCGUAGAUAUUCGGAAGAACACCAGUGGCGAAGGCGGCCAACUGGCCCAUUACUGACGCUGAGGUGCGAAAGCGUGGGGAGCAAACACG
rnacentral:rRNA from 1 species